CUAGCAUAUCAAUAAGCGGAGGAAAAGAAACCAACAGGGAUUGCCCUAGUAACGGCGAGUGAAGCGGCAACAGCUCAAAUUUGAAUCUGGCUUUCGGGCCCGAGUUGUAAUUUGUAGAGGAUGAUUUUGAUGCGGUGCCUUCCGAGUUYCCUGGAACGGGACGCCAUAGAGGGUGAGAGCCCCGUCUGGUUGGAUGCCAAAUCUCUGUAAAUCUCCUUCGACGAGUCGAGUAGUUUGGGAAUGCUGCUCUAAAUGGGAGGUAUAUGUCUUCUAAAGCUAAAUACCGGCCAGAGACCGAUAGCGCACAAGUAGAGUGAUCGAAAGAUGAAAAGCACUUUGAAAAGAGAGUUAAAAAGUACGUGAAAUUGUUGAAAGGGAAGCGUUUAUGACCAGACUUGGGCUUGGUUAAUCAUCUGGGGUUCUCUCCAGUGCACUUUUCCAGUCCAGGCCAGCAUCAGUUUUCGCCGGGGGAUAAAGGCUUCGGGAAUGUGGCUCCCCUCGGGGAGUGUUAUAGCCCGUUGUGUAAUACCCUGGUGGGGACUGAGGUUCGCGCUUCUGCAAGGAUGCUGGCGUAAUGGUCAUCAACGACCCGUCUUGAAACACGGACCAAGGAGUCGUCUUCGUAUGCGAGUGUUCGGGUGUCAAACCCCUACGCGUAAUGAAAGUGAACGCAGGUGAGAGCUUCGGCGCAUCAUCGACCGAUCCUGAUGUUCUCGGAUGGAUUUGAGUAAGAGCAUACGGGGCCGGACCCGAAAGAAGGUGAACUAUGCCUGUGUAGGGUGAAGCCAGAGGAAACUCUGGUGGAGGCUCGCAGCGGUUCUGACGUGCAAAUCGAUCGUCAAACAUGGGCAUGGGGGCGAAAGACUAAU
rnacentral:rRNA from 1 species